UACGUAGGGUGCGAGCGUUAAUCGGAAUUACUGGGCGUAAAGCGUGCGCAGGCGGUUGGUUAAGUCUGAUGUGAAAGCCCCGGGCUCAACCUGGGAAUGGCAUUGGAGACUGGCUGGCUAGAGUGUGGCAGAGGGGGGUGGAAUUCCGCGUGUAGCAGUGAAAUGCGUAGAGAUGCGGAGGAACACCGAUGGCGAAGGCAGCCCCCUGGGCUAGCACUGACGCUCAGGCACGAAAGCGUGGGGAGCAAACAGG
rnacentral:rRNA from 1 species